rfam:Salmo salar isolate Sally breed double haploid chromosome ssa01, whole genome shotgun sequence.
UGCAUUCACUACUGUAAGUUGCUCUGGAUAUGAGUGUCUGCUAAAUGACUAAAA